CAUAGUGUUUCUCUUUUGAAACUAGAGAUACUAUUUCUCCACUGCAAAAGAAGUGAUGCGCAUGAAUGGCACAACAAAGUCCUUUGUAGCUAAUCAUGUAGCUGAAACUACUGCUGGAGUUGUGACAAUAAGAGCCUUUGAAGAAGAAGAUCGUUUCUUUGAGAAGAAUCUUGAUUUAAUUGACAUCAAUGCUAGUCCUUUCUUCCAUAGUUUUGCCUCAAAUGAGUGGCUGAUCCAAAGAUUAGAAAUAGUUAGUGCAGUACUUCUUGCCUCCACAGCACUAUGCAUGGUUAUGCUUCCACCUGGGACUUUUGCCUCUGGAUUCAUUGGCAUGGCUCUCUCUUAUGGCCUUACUAAAUGCUCAGCUAGUAUUUUCAAUUCAAAGUCAAUGCAAUCUUGCAAAUUACAUAAUCUCUGUAGAGAGGCUGAAUCAAUAUAUGCAUAUACCAAGUGAGGCACAAGAAGUAAUUGAAGGAAAUCGUCCACCUUCGAAUUGGCCAGACGUUGGUAAAGUAGAACUAAAUGACUUGCAGAUACGAUACAGGCCCGAUC